rnacentral:tRNA from 1 species
AGAUUUAUAAUUAAUUAAUAAUAUUUAUUUUGCAAAUAAAAAUAGCAAAAAGCUAAAUCUA